rnacentral:piRNA from 1 species
UCAAAUAUUGGUGGGUAGGCUGUUUUCUCU